GGCAGUCGGGUGGGAAGGCGCGGCCGGGCGGGGGUCACACCCCCGGGUCCCCCGCACCAAGCCCCGCAAAAAAAAAAGCUCUUUGUAGCUGGCUUCGGAGCGAACGGCGGCUGCCAAGGGGCUGCAAGGGGCCGAGCACCCAGGGAGCAAUGCCGGCAGCUGGGAGAAGGCGAGAACGCCUCUAAAAUCUAUCUGGUGUAACCCACAGCAGCGAGGUAGAAGCAAAGAGGGGGGGAAGAAGAUUGACAGUGUCAAACACACUUCGGGGAGAAACUCAGCAUUUCCCUGGACACCAAGAAGCUCCAGACAAUAUUUCAGACAGAGGGAGGUAGGUGGCAGAGGAAGACUGCAGCUUGAGAGAAGAAGUGGCUCGAUUCAAGCAGCAACAAGAAAAUCAGGUUUUCAGCAGAGCACAAACAGAGAACUUAGUCCUCACAGCUGCAAAAUCCAACUCCAUCUUCAGAAGCGAGGCUGGAAAAACAAACAAGAAGGAAUGAGGAAAACAAUAAGAAAACAAUGAACAAACAUACUGACACUACAGUUUCCAGGUUUUCUCCCAGACCCUCAGACCUUUAAGCAGCCUAAAGGGGUCCAACAGUUGUGCCAUACCUUUGUGAAGUUGUCAGAGAGGAUGUCACUGGAUGGAACGUGUGGCAGCUGUAAGAGAAGGCAAAUAUCAAUAGUGUAGCCUUGCCUCUUCCCCUUCACUCAUCUGAAAGCUGCUAUAGAAAUACUUCUGUAUCCUGAAGAAAUUGUGACUGUGCUUGGCUAAUGCUCAGGAUUCACCCAGGAAUUGCCGUGAAGUACACUGAUCGUAGGAGGUGUGAAGUGUGUUUUGCAAACCAACACUUGUCUGAAAGCACUCAGCCCCACCUCAAAUCUGAAUGGAGAAUAGUCUGCUUUAAAAUUUUUUCCAAAGCUUGGAUUAGACUGGAAUAGUUCAGCUGGAAGAGGCCUAUGAGGAUUAUCUAGUCCAACAGCCAUUUUAGACUUUUGCCUUGACUUGGAUCUGAAGUGAGGUGGCUUCAGCCACAGCACAGAACAAUGACCACUGUACAGCCACAGCUGCCUGUUGUCCAGUGCUACUGCCACACAUGGGCCCUGAAAGCUUGCCUUAUUCUGAUGCUAUGUCUGUUGGUGACUUAGCACUUGAUUUGGGUAAGAAAAUUAAAAAAGCUAAAUAAAAUAAUGACUCGAAACACUA